rnacentral:rRNA from 1 species
UGAGGAAUAUUGGUCAAUGGACGGAAGUCUGAACCAGCCAUGCCGCGUGCAGGAAUAAGGUCCUAUGGAUUGUAAACUGCUUUUAUUUGGGAAUAAACCUCCUUACGUGUAGGGAGCUGAAGGUACCAAAGGAAUAAGCACCGGCUAACUCCGUGCCAGCAGCCGCGGUAAUACGGAGGGUGCAAGCGUUAUCCGGAAUCAUUGGGUUUAAAGGGUCCGCAGGCGGGCUAAUAAGUCAGAGGUGAAAUCCCACAGCUUAACUGUGGAACUGCCUUUGAAACUGUUAGUCUUGAAUUAAGAUGGCGUUGGCGGAAUAGGUCAUGUAUCGGUGAAAUGCAUAGAUAUCGUCACGGACACCGAUAGCGGAGGCAGCCCCCCAGGCCGCCACUGACGCUGAGGCACGAAAGUGCGGGGAUCAAAC